rnacentral:tRNA from 1 species
UCUUGUAAGUAUAAAUAGUACUUCUGAUUUCCAAUCAGAGAGAUUGCAUAAUUGCAAACAAGAUA